rnacentral:rRNA from 1 species
GGUUUCCUACGGGGCGCAGCAGUGGGGAAUAUUGCACAAUGGGGGAAACCCUGAUGCAGCAACGCCGCGUGGGUGAAGAAGUAUUUCGGUAUGUAAAGCCCUAUCAGCAGGUAAGAGAAUGACGGUACCUGACUAAGAAGCCCCGGCUAACUACGUGCCAGCAGCCGCUGUAAUACGUAGGGGGCAAGCGUUAUCCUUAUUUACUGUGUUUAAAUGGAGCGUAGACGUUUUUUCAAGUCUGAAGUGAAAGCCCGCGGCUCAACUGCGGAACGGCUUUGGAAACUGUGUAACUGGAGUGCUGGAGA